AUGCAACACCAAAUGCUGAAGAAGUAUUUCCCUCAGUAUCAGAUGGGUAGAGCCCCUAUUUUAACACUAAAAGCUGCUAAUGGACUUGAAAUACCCUAUGUUGGCUAUGCUGUUCUGAACUUCGAAGUCGCUGGAGUUCAGAUCCCAGAAUGGGGUGUUGUGAUCGUUAAAGAUGAGUGUUCUACUUACCCAAUGAUUAUUGGCAUGAAUGUCCUGUCUGCAUGCUGGAAUGAUCUCUUCCAGGAACGAGAGCAGCUGAGGUGGAAAGGAACCUCCCCCAGGAAUGACAAACUGUGGCAGCAAACACUUGCGACCUGCCAACGGAUUGCUGCCCAAGAGCAGCGAGAUGGCUUUGUGGGUCAUGUCUGGUCUGCUAGCCGACGUAGGAUCUGUGUUCCCCCAGAAAGUGAAAUGAUCGUGUGGGGACGUGUUCGGGUGAACAGGAGGGGCCAAGAAUACUGUGGCCUAGUGGAGCCAGUGCUGGAUGGAGGAAAGUUUCAGAAGCUGGGCAAACUGUAUGAAGUGCAACAAUCUGAUGUCCAUGGACAAUAUGAUCUCCAGCUGGACGUUAAGUCAGAAGGCGUGGUGGAAGUGAGUGUAAUCGAGACUGUUCCUGUGGGGAAGGGUACCCCCACAUUUGAGGUGAGCCAGUUUGCUACCCGUUCGGAUCUAACAGAUCAGCAGCAGGUUGAAUUAGGUCACUUACUUCAAAAGUGGACUAGUGUGUUUGCUCAGAACGAGGAAGACUUUGGAUGCACCGAUGCUAUCCAUCAUAGCAUACCUACAGGUGGGGCCCUUCCUAUUAGAGAGAGGUUCCGACCUCUACCCCCUAAGAUGUACCAAGAGAUGCGAACAUUGCUUGCCGAUAUGCUGAACAGUGGGGUAAUUUCUGAGAGUUCUAGCCCUUGGGCUGCCCCAGUCGUGAUGGUCAGGAAAAAGGAUGGAAAUUGGCGAUUUUGUGUAGAUUACAGAAAAUUGAAUUCUGUCACUCUUAAGGAUGCUUUUCCCAUGCCCAGGAUUGAAGAGACCUUGACUACCUUAACCCAAGCACAGUGGUUUAGCACUCUUGACCUGGCUAGUGGCUAUUGGCAGGUGGGUGUACAUCCAGAUGAUCAACCAAAGACUGCAUUUGCUACACCAUUAGGAUUAUUCCAGUUCCAUAGGAAUGCCUUAAAACAGUGUUUGUCUAAGCCCAGUGGUCCUAAACAGAGCCAGCAGGAGGAAAGGGAAACGGGGGCUGACGGCGGGUUUAUUCCCUAUAGUGUUUGGACUGCAACCCCGAAUGUACCUGAUGAGGUUUCGGCCAAUGUUCCUGUUCGCCGUUCCACUCGUGCUAAUUUUGGACAGAGACCGCCUAUCAGCGUGGAAAGAGCGCGGGUGCUCGGGGACUCUUAUUUUAAAAGCGGACUUUUACAGGAGGGGAGAGAGAUCCGGGGAAGGAGAUCCGGGGAAGGAGAUCCGGGGAAGGAGAUCCGGGGAAGGAGAUCCGGGGAAGGAGAUCCGGGGAAGGAGAUCCGGGGAAGGAGAUCCGGGGAAGGAGAUCCGGGGAAGGAGAUCCGGGGAAGGAGAUCCGGGGAAGGAGAUCCGGGGAAGGAGAUCCGGGGAAGGAUUGGUGGCACAGGUGUGCUGCGGGUGUGGAUGGUGCAGCAGAGGCGGAAGCAGCCGGGAGCGUGGCUAGAACGCCAGCAGGAUUCGGCACAGCAUUACCCGGCAGUAGGGGCUUGGUCCGAGUGGCGUGUGAGUGCAGCGGCUGGCAGCAGAUUCAGGAGGAACUGCUGGAGUGUGUGCAUGCGGUGACGUCAGCGGCGGCUCAAAGGGAAUGCUGGAUAGAAGACCGAGGGUCAUCCUAUACACCACAGGCGUGUUGCUGCAAUUUCUGGGUAGUGGUUUCGAUCACUACCCGGAACUGUGUGAGUACGAGCAGCUGUUUUACAGGUGGUGUAUAUUUUAAGGAACCAGGAGUGCUGGACUGCCAUUGCUUUUAUUAAUUAACUCUAAAUACUGACUACACUCGGAAACCCUCUCCGUAGCCACUAGGCUAAUUUAAACCCAAGCUUGAGUACACAAAGGACAUAUUACUGGUCAGUCUUUUCUUUUAUUUUGUCCUAGAGCGGCGUGGUGAGACUCAAGGGAGCCGUGUCUACAUUCCCCUGGUCGUUAUGGACUUCUUUUAUUGAAACAGUGAACCGGACUUUCCUUUCUUUUAGUUCCUGUGUAUUCUUGGUUCCCCUUUGUGUUUUUUUUUUUGGUUUAUUUGGUAUUAUUCUUUUGUUUUGCGUUUUUGUUUAUUUAUUUUCCUGUUUUGCUUUCGUUCCCAUUAAUCUACUGCAACGACCUAGCUUUUAGUGUGUAUAUAUUUGCUCAAAGUAUAAAAUAAAACAUUGCUUGUUUGAGUAUGCUGUCUCCUGUUGGGAUCACUGGCUCAUACUCUGUUCCCUCCCAAACGAAUUUAUUAUUUCUUUACUAGUGUGGGUGAGUCGUGUGGAGUUUGGGUUAGAUUGGGUUCUGGUUGUACAUCUUUCUCUAUCUCAAUGGUUCCUAGGAGUAGUAAAUUUUAAUAGUAGGUUUUAAGUGUUCUAGAUUGUUUUAAAAUUCUAUUCCUAGGGGCUAUGUGAUAUGUUGGAAGUCCCUGGUUAUUUUAGGAAUACAUACAUGGUUUAACACUACCUUAUAUUUAACUAACCCACGCGACAACAGUGCGCACUAGUGAUACCGACCCAGUGCAAGUACAUGGUUCAACACCAUAUUUUCGCUUAUGACAAAGUUAAUAGACAUCAGCGGCACUAAUUAAUGGCAUUCCAUUAUUAAAGAUUGCUUUACCAAGAU
ensembl:lncRNA